AAUCCUCCAUUUUUUCUCUUUGGUGCUCAAAUAUAUAUAUAUAUAUAUAUGUAUAUUUAAAAAAAAAAAAAAAAAUCUUGCUUCUUGUUGUUUUUCAGCAGCUUUUCAAUAGAAUUCUUUUCUAAUUUUUCUUCACCUAAAGAAUUUCUUUAUUGUUUUUGGCAAUCUGGAUAUUGUAAGAAUUAUUUAUAGUUGUGCUUGAAGAAGUCUCAAAGUUAAUUAGCACAGGGCGAACUGUUCUUUUGCCUUUUCAAUUGUCUAUGAUUUGCUAUUAUUUCCUGUAAUUUCUCUCUCUCUCUCAGAAUUCUCAGUAAUUUUGACUGAUAAAAAUAUUUAAAAUUCAAAAGUUAAAAAAUAUUUAAAAUUCAAAAGUUAAUCUCGCGUAAGGAGAUGAAGAUUCAGAUCAUUAGCAGAGAAAUCAUAAAACCAUCAUCUCCAACUCCAAAUCACCUCAGAAACUACAAACUCUCUGUUUUGGAUCAGCUUGUUCGUCCAUGUGUUUAUGCAUCCAUGCUCUCUUACUACCCCAAAAACCAUAUUCCAACGCCCCAAAGAUUGCACAAGCUCAGGACUUCAUUGUCGAAAACCUUAACUCGCUUCUACCCACUUGCCGGAAGAAUCAAGGACAACAUUUCCAUCGAGUGCCAUGACGAUGGAGCUCUGUAUAUCGAAGCUCGAGUCCAUGGCUUCCUCUCAGACUUCUUAAAACUAGAACCUCAUUCUAAGCAACGAGAACGGUUGCUUCCAGAUAAAACUGAAUUUUUCGAAGCAGCCUCACCACCUUUGCUUCUUGUUCAAGCGAGUUUCUUCGAAUGUGGUGCAUUGGCAGUUGGCUUCUAUAUGUGUCACAAGUUUGGUGAUGGAGGGACAUUGAGCAGAUUCAUCAAGGAUUGGGCUUUCAUUGCUUAUGGACAUGAAAAAGAAGCACUACUACCGGAUUUGGAUUUCGAUGCAGGGUGUUUUCGCUUCCCACCAAGUGAAGAUUUCAAAGUACAAGAACCUCCUGCAAAGAAUUUGAGGUAUGCAAAGCAUGUCACAAAGAGGUAUGUGUUUGAUGCAAUUAAGAUUGGUGCUCUCAAGGCCAAAUCUUCUAGCCUAUUCGUGAAGAAACCAACUCGAACCGAAGUAAUUCUAGCUCUCAUAUGGAAAUGUGCAAUGAAUGCUUCAAGAUUAAACAAAGGGGUUUCAACACACUCAAUUUUGCACCAACUUGUGAACUUCCGCGGCAGAGUUGAGCCUCCUUUCUCCGAAAACGCUAUUGGAAAUUUUGUGCAAUAUUGUUCCGUACAAAAAGAGGAUGGUAUAAUGGAGCUACAAGAUUUGGUGGCUCGGUUGAGGAAAGGAAUCAAAGAGUUUGAUGGAAAAGAAGCGAAAAGACUCAGCGGGGAUGAUGCACUGGGAGAGAUCAUUCGAUCUUCGAAAGAGAGAAGAGAGAUAUCUGGUAGAGACAAUGUAAGGCUGUUUACAUGUACCAGUUUGUGCAGCAUUAACUUCUAUGAAAUAGACUUUGGUUGGGGGAAGCCAAUAUGGUUUAGUGUGGAAACUGGUAGCUACCUGAACGACUUUGCCAUUUUGACAAACACAAGAGAUGGCAAUGGGGUUGAAGCUUGGGUUAGUCUGAGUGAAGAAGAAAUGAAACAUUUUGAAUCUGAUCCGGAGCUUCUCUCAUUUGCCUCCUUAAAUCCUAGUGUUAUUAGUCUCCCUAGGCUCUAAAAUACUGCAGAACUCAAGAGGAGGGACCUGAAACUACUGGAAGAGAGACAUUCAAGAAUUUACUGUGGGAGAUUUUACAAACAUCUGCUAUUCUGUUAAAAGAUAAAGUUACACACGUGUCAAAACUGGAUAAGCAGAGGUACUGACACUCCGUACGCAAGGAUACGAUAUUUCAAGGCAUGUGUGUCUGCCAUUUUCAUUAUUCACAGCCAAUCUCAUUGACUGGUUUCAAUUACGUUGGAAACCCAAUCCCACUCUCAUGUCGGCAAGGGCAGCACCAGUAGUGGCUAGCAGCUGGCGAGUUUGGAUUUGGCUCAAGAAUUGGCUAUCCGAAACCUUAACUCGCUUCUACCCGCUUGCUGGAAGAAUCAAGGACAACAUUUCCAUCGAGUGUCGUGACGACGGAGCUCUCUUUAUCGAAGCUCGAGUCCAUGGCUUCAUCUCGGACUUUUUAAAGCUAGAACCAGAUUCUAAGCAACAAGAAAGAUUACUUCCUGAUAAAACUCAAUUUUUUGAUGCUGCCUCGCCGCCUUUGCUGCUCGUUCAAGCCAGUUUCUUUGAGUGUGGUGGAUUGGCAUUAGGUUUCUAUAUGUGUCACAAGUUUGGUGAUGGAGGAACACUGAGUAGAUUCCGUAUGGAUUGGGCUUUCAUUGCUUAUGGACAUGAAAAGGAACUACUACCGGCUUUAGAUUUCGAUUCAGGGUCUUCUCGCUUUCCACCAAGUAAAGAUUUUGCUGUCCAAGAACCUCCUGCAAAGAAUUUGAGGUAUGCAAAUCAUGUCACAAAGAAGUAUGUGUUUGAUGCGGAGAAGAUCGCUGCUCUCAAGACCAAAGCUGCUAGUCCACUCGUUCAGCAACCAACGCGAACCGAAGCAAUUCUGCCUCUCAUAUGGAGAUGUGCAAUUUCUGCUUCAAGAUUGAACAAAGGGGUUUCAAUGCACUAUGUGAUGCACCAACUCGUGAACAUCCGUAAUAGAGUUGAGCCUCCUCUUCCCCAAAACUCUAUUGGAAAUUUUGUGCAAUACUUUUCUGUACAAGCAGAGGAUGGUAAAACAGAGCUGCAAGAUUUGGUGGCUUUGUUGAGGAAAGGAAUCAAUGAGUUUGGUGAAAAUGAAGCAAAAAGACUUAGCGGAGAAGAUGCAUUCGGAGAGAUCAUUCGGUCUUCAAAAGAGAGAAGAGAGACAUCCGGUAGAGACGAUGUCAGACUCUUUACAUGUACAAGUGGAUUAGGCGCUAACUUCUAUGAAGCAGACUUUGGUUGGGGGAAGCCAAUCUGGAUGAGUGUGGAAACCGGUAGCAACCUCAACAACUUUGCUCUUUUGGCAAACACAAGAGAGGGUAAUGGAGUUGAAGCUUGGGUGACUCUAAGUGAAAAAGAAAUGGAAUAUUUUGAAUCUGACCCUGAGCUUCUUGAAUUUGCUUCCUUAAAUCCAAGUGUUAGUCACUCUAAGCUCUAAAUGCUCUUCUGAACUCAGGUAUAUGAUUGUUUGUUUGUAAAAGAUCGAUUUGUUUUUUUUUUUUCCUGCAUGAUAUAUGGAACACACGCAUAUUUUUAUGCUGAAGCUAAGCUGGUGAUUUAUGAACAUGCAUGCUUUUAAUACUAAAAUCUCUAAUCAAA